GAUGAACGCUGGCGGCGUGCCUAAUACAUGCAAGUCGAGCGAACAGACGAGGAGCUUGCUCCUCUGACGUUAGCGGCGGACGGGUGAGUAACACGUAGAUAACCUACCUAUAAGACUGGGAUAACUUCGGGAAACCGGAGCUAAUACCGGAUAAUAUAUUGAACCGCAUGGUUCAAUAGUGAAAGAUGGCUUUGCUGUCACUUAUAGAUGGAUCCGCGCCGCAUUAGCUAGUUGGUAAGGUAACGGCUUACCAAGGCAACGAUGCGUAGCCGACCUGAGAGGGUGAUCGGCCACACUGGAACUGAGACACGGUCCAGACUCCUACGGGAGGCAGCAGUAGGGAAUCUUCCGCAAAGGGCGAAAGCCUGACGGAGCAACGCCGCGUGAGUGAUGAAGGUCUUCGGAUCGUAAAACUCUGUUAUUAGGGAAGAACAAAUGUGUAAGUAACUAUGCACGUCUUGACGGUACCUAAUCAGAAAGCCACGGCUAACUACGUG
rnacentral:rRNA from 1 species